UCCCUGGCAGUCUAGUGGUUAGCACUUGGCACUUUCACUGCUAGGGCUGGGGUUCAAUCCCUAGUCAGGGAA
rnacentral:tRNA from 1 species